GACGAACGCUGGCGGCGUGCCUAAUACAUGCAAGUAGAAUGCUGAAGGAGGAGCUUGCUUCUCCGGAUGAGUUGCGAACGGGUGAGUAACGCGUAGGUAACCUGCCUGGUAGCGGGGGAUAACUAUUGGAAACGAUAGCUAAUACCGCAUAACAGUAGAUGUUGCAUGACAUUUGCUUAAAAGGUGCAAUUGCAUCACUACCAGAUGGACCUGCGUUGUAUUAGCUAGUUGGUGAGGUAACGGCUCACCAAGGCGACGAUACAUAGCCGACCUGAGAGGGUGAUCGGCCACACUGGGACUGAGACACGGCCCAGACUCCUACGGGAGGCAGCAGUAGGGAAUCUUCGGCAAUGGACGGAAGUCUGACCGAGCAACGCCGCGUGAGUGAAGAAGGGUUUCGGAUCGUAAAGCUCUGUUGUAAGAGAAGAACGAGUGUGAGAGUGGAAAGUUCACACUGUGACGGUAUCUUACCAGAAAGGGACGGCUAACUACGUG
rnacentral:rRNA from 1 species